rnacentral:rRNA from 1 species
AACGAACGCUGGCGGCAUGCCUAACACAUGCAAGUCGAACGAGACCUUCGGGUCUAGUGGCGCACGGGUGCGUAACGCGUGGGAACCUGCCCUUAGGUUCGGAAUAACUCCCCGAAAGGGGUGCUAAUACCGGAUAAUGUCUUCGGACCAAAGAUUUAUCGCCUUUGGAUGGGCCCGCGUUGGAUUAGCUAGUUGGUAGGGUAAAAGCCUACCAAGGCGACUAUCCAUAGCUGGUCUGAGAGGAUGAUCAGCCACACUGGGACUGAGACACGGCCCAGACUCCUACGGGAGGCAGCAGUGGGGAAUAUUGGAAAAUGGGCGAAAGCCUGAUCCAGCAAUGCCGCGUGAGUGAUGAAGGCCUUAGGGUUGUAAAGCUCUUUUACCCGGGAUGAUAAUGACAGUACCGGGAGAAUAAGCUCCGGCUAACUCCGUG